AUUGAACGCUGGCGGCAUGCCUUACACAUGCAAGUCGAACGGUAACAGGUCUUCGGAUGCUGACGAGUGGCGAACGGGUGAGUAAUACAUCGGAACGUGCCCGAUCGUGGGGGAUAACGAGGCGAAAGCUUUGCUAAUACCGCAUACGAUCUACGGAUGAAAGCGGGGGAUCUUCGGACCUCGCGCGGACGGAGCGGCCGAUGGCAGAUUAGGUAGUUGGUGGGAUAAAAGCUUACCAAGCCGACGAUCUGUAGCUGGUCUGAGAGGAUGAUGAGCCACACUGGGACUGAGACACGGCCCAGACUCCUACGGGAGGCAGCAGUGGGGAAUUUUGGACAAUGGGCGAAAGCCUGAUCCAGCCAUGCCGCGUGCAGGAUGAAGGCCUUCGGGUUGUAAACUGCUUUUGUACGGAACGAAAAGCCUCUUUCUAAUAAAGAGGGGUCAUGACGGUACCGUAAGAAUAAGCACCGGCUAACUACGUG
rnacentral:rRNA from 1 species